rnacentral:rRNA from 1 species
UAGGGAAUAUUCCACAAUGAGCGAAAGCUUGAUGGAGCGACACAGCGUGCAGGAUGACGGCCUUCGGGUUGUAAACUGCUGUUAUAAAGGAAGAACAACUAGUAUAGGAAAUGAUACUAGCCUGACGGUACUUUAUCAGAAAGCACCGGCAAACUAUGUG